GUCACUCCCUCAUCGUCCUCACUCUCACAACGUCUUCACGCUUUCGCUUCUCUCAAAAUCGGUUUCUCUACCUCGCGUCUCUCUUAAACUUCACUCAUCACUCUCAAUCGCUCUCCCAAAAUCGCUCUCAACCUCGCGUCUCUCUCACUAUCGCUCACAAUACUACCCAAGAAAUACACGAAUCUACGGUUUCAAAAGAGAGUCGAGUGAAAAUCUCACCUUCGACGGUGACGACGACUCAGGGUUUGGGAUUGGCUUAUGCAUAUCAAAAUAAGGUGUCUCUGCAAACUCCUUUUGGUGCUCAGAAACGGAUUGCCUCUUUGAUGCUUGUUCUGGAAAAGGUAUGAUUCUGUGAUGAAUUGGAAGCCUGUGAAGAACAUUUUCAAUCUCUUGAAUGGUUAUACCAUGUGAAUGAAACUCCAUCAUCAUCAUGUCCAUGACUGAAUUCCAAUGCAUCGAAAAAUGAACUUAGAUCAUGGCACAUUCUGGUGAGCUCUUUGACGCCAUACACAAAAUGCAGCCUCAACGUGGUUGGCGAUCUUGAGUGCAACAUGUUCAGAAGAUAUGUUCAAGUGACCAAAUAAGCAUCCUGAGGAGAACCGAUUUGAUGCGCUGUACUGGUAAAAUGAGAUUCACAAAAGAUUGACCGAUGCAGCACUAACUGACUUGUUCAGUCACCAACCCAAACUGACAAAUUCUACACGCCUGCUAUCGACUUCAAUGAUAACAAGCCGCCGGACACUUGUCGUCACAACUGUCUGCAAGAGAGGCGUGCAUCCAAUUGGAGAGAGACUGCCUGACGGUCCUGAUACAGUGGCUGAUAGAGGCACUGAACUAGGACGAGCAAUUGUUUGCACUCUGGAAUUUGACAAUGCAGGAGGAUAUGGUGGCCAGUUAUAUUUGUCAAUUCAUUUGGUUGUGGUGCAGGUCUGUAGCAUGAUUGUUCUGCAGCAUGACUAUUGUCACAUGGUUAGGUCUGCUGCCAUUUCUCUAUGUAAUGUUGUCUGCUGCAAGUGUUAUACAGUUUUGAUACAAUUCGUGCAACAUAUUUUGCCUUGGACUGCUGAAGGAUUAUGGUUGUCGGCUUCUUGACUUGUUUUGCCUUACGGGUCUUGUUCUGUGUACUGAUCUGCUGGCCUGAUGCAGGAUGCUGUGUUGUUUUGCAUUUUUGGCGUUUCGGAUGAACUACGUUUGAGCUCUGCGGAAGGUUAGAUAUCAGCUUGUUGUUUUGGACUUACCAUCUGCGGUUCUGUUGCAGCCGAUGGUGACUUAUAGCUUUUGAUUGAGUUUCGUUGUCGGCGUUGCCGUUGGCUCUCACUACAUCAUUGUGGCUUGCAGUUGGUAUGCAUUUGUGAGACUGUUGUGUUCAGUUGCUGCUGCGGUCUGUUGUUGGCGUUGCCGUUGGUUCCAGCGUGGCUUAUGUUUCAUGCUGCAGUUGGUUUAUACUGUGAUUGUCGUGGUAUUUGUUUGGUAGCAGCUUUUUGGUUAGAAAAUGCACGGCAAGUGGAAGCGUGGAGUAUAGAAUCAUGAGGCAUACCAAGACUCUCCCUCUUUUUCAUUCUGAUUGUAACUGGACCUCUUUGUCAUAUAUGUAUACAAUGGUGAAAUGCUUGUAAUAAAAGGUUAGUAUAUAAGCUAUGUAACAUAUAU